rnacentral:rRNA from 1 species
GACGAAGGGGGCUAGCGUUGUUCGGAAUUACUGGGCGUAAAGCGCGUGUAGGCGGUUGCCCAAGUCGGGUGUGAAAGCCUUGAGCUCAACUCAAGAAAUGCACUCGGUACUGGGUGACUAGAGGACCGGAGAGGAUAGUGGAAUUCCCAGUGUAGUGGUGAAAUACGUAGAGGUUGGGAAGAACACCAGUGGCGAAGGCAGCCCCCUGGGUCGACACUGACGCUCAGGCACGAAAGCGUGGGGAGCAAACAGG